GGAAUCGUGCCUGAACUAAAGGGCUAUUAUGAUAGAAUAAACUACACAGGUUAAAAUCCUGUCGCUUCCU
rnacentral:tRNA from 1 species